CUACGGGGUGCAGCAGUGGGGAAUAUUGGACAAUGGGGGAAACCCUGAUCCAGCAAUGCCGCGUGUGUGAAGAAGGCCUGAGGGUUGUAAAGCACUUUCGGUUGGGAGGACUGCUUCUAGCACUAAUAUUGUUGGAAGUUGACGUUACCUUCAGAAGAAGCACCGGCUAACUCCGUGCCAGCAGCCGCGGUAAUACGGAGGGUGCAAGCGUGUAAUCGGAAUUACUGGGCGUAACGCGCGCGUAGGCGGCUAGAUCAGUCGGGUGUGAAAGCCCCGGGCUUAACCUGGGAACUGCAUCCGGUCCUGUCUAGCUUGAGUACAGGAGAGGAGAGUGGAAUUCCACAUGUAGCGGUGAAAUGCGUAGAUAUGUGGAGGAACACCAAUGGCGAAGGCAACUCUCUGGCCUGAUACUGACGCUGAGGUGCGAAAGCGUGGGGAGCAAACAGGAUUAGAUACCCUAGUAGUC
rnacentral:rRNA from 1 species